rnacentral:tRNA from 1 species
CAGCACGUUGGGCGAGACGAAGCCCUGCUGCGUCUGGCGCAUGUAGUUGUAGCGGUUGUCCGACAGCGUGCCGGUCGCCUCGGCCGUGCGCA